AAGAGGUUUUAACCACACACACACUCUCACGAACAGACGCAUGCACACUAGCUAACAGACACACACAUUUACUGACAGACACACACUCAGUGACAAAACAUACACUCUCACUGACAAACACACACUCACUAACAGACACACACAAACUAACACACUCAGUAACAGACACACUCACUGACACACAAACUAACACACACACACACUGACACUCAAUAAACAGGCACAAACUAACACACUCAGUGACACACACACAGUAACACUCACUAAUACACUUACUGACACUCACUAGCAGACACACACACUAACAGACACACACACACACACACACAGUAACACACUCACUGACACACAAACACACUCAUUAACAGACACACACACAAUAACACACUCACUGACACACACAAACUAACACACUCAUUAACAGACACACACACAGUAACACACUCACUGACACACACACACUAACACACAUACACACAUUUUUUUUUAUUUAAUCCCCCAGCCUCCCUAUCUUUGGGAGUGCUGAGGGGAUUCCCUGGGGUCCAGUGGUGCUGCUGGGCGGCCAGUCCUCAGGUGGUGAGGGAGCACUCUCCUCUGA